rnacentral:rRNA from 1 species
UACGAAGGGGGCUAGCGGUGUUCGGAAUCACUGGGCGUAAAGCGCACGUAGGCGGCUUGUUAAGUCAGGGGUGAAAUCCUGGAGCUCAACUCCAGAACUGCCCUUGAUACUGGCAAGCUGGAGUGUAGGAGAGGUUGGUGGAACUGCGAGUGUAGAGGUGAAAUUCGUAGAUAUUCGCAAGAACACCAGUGGCGAAGGCGGCCAACUGGCCUACUACUGACGCUGAGGUGCGAAAGCGUGGGGAGCAAACAGG